GGGCCUGGGCGCGCAGCCGCGAGGCAGGAGGAGGGCGGGGGCUCGCGGCAGCCUUCGCUUCCGGAGGGGAAGCCGGGUCGGCUGAAGCGAUGGCGGCCGGAGGCAGCGAGGCCCGGGUCGCGGACGUGGAGGAGGACGCCUCGCAGCUCGUCUUCCCCAAAGAAUUUGAAACUGCUGAGACGCUUCUAAAUUCAGAAGUGCACAUGCUUCUUGAGCAUCGUAAACAACAGAAUGAGAGUGCUGAGGAUGAGCAGGAGCUCUCAGAAGUCUUCAUGAAAACUCUGAACUACACGGCUCGCUUCAGCCGCUUCAAAAACCGGGAGACCAUUGCCAGCGUCCGCAGUUUGUUGCUCCAGAAAAAGCUCCAUAAAUUUGAAUUGGCAUGUUUGGCUAAUCUGUGUCCUGAGACAGCUGAGGAGGCCAAGGCUUUGAUUCCUAGGUGAGAAUUGUUUGACAGCCACAGUGGGCUGGCCUACAAGGUACAAUUCUACAUGACGCCAGUCAGCCUAGAGGGCCGGUUUGAAGAUGAGGAGCUACAGCAGAUUCUUGAUGACAUUCAGACCAAACGAAGCUUCCAGUAUUAGGGCUAAUUACUAGCCCUUAUUAUGAAAAGAAAGAUCAGAGAACUUCAGAUGUUUCUGUGCACACCAGACCAGGCUAGCUAGCUCCAGGACAGAGCAAAGAGAGUUCUUGAUGCACAGUACUUCAGCCUUGCGUCCCACACAGACAUGUUUAAACUGGGGACCACUCUUUGACUUGCUGAAUAUUGUAAACUUGACAAAGAUUCAUUUGUGGUGAGAGCCAUGGAAUCUUGGAAACUCCUGUCUAGGAGGUGUCAGUACCUGUUUCCCCCAACUUCCUGUCCCUGUCAUGGGAAUCUUCAAAGUGUUCUUGGUUACAGGGCCUAGAAUAAGCGUAGGUGUGAUUCUUCUUUCUUAUGAACUCCAGUUACCUAAGGUGGAGAAAUUUUGUGCCCGUUGGUUGUUGAAAAUCCUAGUAGUUUGUAGAAUCAGGGCUAAUAAGAAUCUGACUGUCUUUUGAAAUGUUUGUUCAAGAUAAUGUUUUUUCCCCCCCUUCAAGAGUGCAUCAUUGUUCAGUUUGAAUUAAACUGUGAUUUUUCUUA